CCUCAAAAUCCUGAUAGAUGGGCAUGUUUCCUUGUCCAAGAGGUAUGUGCCAGUGCCCAUCUUGGAGUUGAUUACCUCCUGGAUCUGUGGGGCAUACCCACAACUUCUCUUUUGGUCAGCAGCUGUUCUCUUGAUAGUUUCCACUAUGAGGCUCAUGACCUUGAACGUUUGAGGCACAUCAAAUAUGUGUUGUAGGUUGAUGGCAUGGCCUCUGAUCGUCUUGUGAUCACCUGACUUAGGCAAAAGAGUGUGCCUGUGGAUCCAGUUGAUUGUUGGCAAUUCUGACAGAAGGUAAUGUACUGAUCCAAACUUGUGUGUCUCAACAGCAGCAUCUGGGAUCUCUCUGUACAUAUGUGCCAUGGAGUUGUGAUCCUUCUUCUUCUUGGCAUAUACAUCCAAGUCAUCCUCAUUCUCCUUAGGUGCAUUGAUCAAUUUUGCCCAUUCUUCAACUGAUGUUUUGUACCUAGUACCUUCAGACAUCCAGACAAUCCUUCCAUUUGGGUAGAAGUGAGCUGUGGAGUAGAACUGCAUAAUAAGCUCAUCAUUCCACUUUGUGAGCUUCUGCCCAACAAAGUCAUCCACUCGACAAGCAUUGAAACUGUCAUACACUCCUGGAUAAUGCUCUUCAUUCUUCCUGAUGUACUCCCAGUCCACCCAUCUCAUAUCAACGACUAUAGGCUUCUUGUCAAGAAGCACUGUCUCAUAGAAGUCCUGAUGUUCCUUUGUAUGGAACCUGUAGUCCACAGCAGUUCUCCUCCUGACUGCAUAGGGAUCAGUCAAUCUCCACUGUCUGAGACCUUCAUCCUUCCUCAGCUUCAUAUCCUCAGCUACAGGAUGAACAUCAUUGUGAUCUGGAAUUUUGGGCUUCAACUUUCUCAAGACAUGUUCCUCAUCAUCUUGUUCUUCAACGACAGCUUCAGGCACUGGGGCCUUGUUCUUCUCUCCAGCUGGAAUGUUUCUUGUAUUCCUCUUGGGUGCAGAUUUGGGCUUUGGAGCAGCUGUCUUAGGAGCUUCUUUGGGCUUUGAUGAAGCAGCCCCUGACCAAAUGGCAUCACCCAUAAGCUUUUGAGCUUUGGGUGGUGGUGCAGCAACCUCUUCCUCUUCUUCCUCUUCCAUCAUGGAAGGCCUUCCAACAACCCUGGCCAUGUUCUUCUUGACCCUUUCCCUCCUCUUCUUCCCUUCUGCAGUAGCCUCUCUGGGUUCAGAUUCCAAAGGUACUUGAGUGGAGGCUCUGGCCUUAGACCUGGCAAUUCUUUUGGCAGGUGCUUUGGUCUUCAUACCAGGCUUAGUGGCAGCAGCUGUGCCAUACUCCUUCUUGAGCACUUUAUUCUUGGAAGUGGCCUCAUCCUCAAUAGCCACAUAGUCUUCAUCCUCAGAAUCUGAGGUUCUCUUCUUUCUGGCCCUGGUGGCUGCCUUGGGUAAGUUGCUGGGUGUGCUCCUGCUUCCAUCAUCAUAGCUGCUAGAGGGACUAGUGCCCUCACUCAUCUGAACCUGCUCCUCAGACUUUUUCUGACUGUCACUUUGAUCAGACAUGUUGCAAACACUGAUAGCAGACCCUGUGAAUAGAUAUAGAUGUGGUAGAGUAGAUGAGCAUCACAAAAUACAGAGGUUUUUGCAAAAGAAUGACUCAAAAACUUAGUUCUAGUUUUCCACAGAAAGCAUUUGGAUCUACCGAUUUGUAACCUCGAUGAUACCGAAGCAGCUUUUGGAACCUAAACUAGUGAACUCGGUUAGACCAAGUCACAGUUUGGUGGCACCGAGACUGCUAGGGUUUCACAAAGUCCUGAACUCGGUCACACCGAUUUGCAAUUCUCGGUCAGACCGAGAAUCACAUGUGCAAUGGCCAUAGCUGAAUCGGUGGAACCGAGUUCUACAACUUGGUUGGUCCGAGAUGGUUUCGGCGGAAACCUAACCCUAAAUUUUCAAUUCACAACUAAACUACGGAGUGUUUUCGCUCGAUAAGAUGAUCUCAAUCGUGGCAAGAUACAUGGAAAAACAAUGUGCUAGGAAUUCGGAGUGGGAUUAGCAGAAGGAUCAAGUCCAUACCCUAGUUCGACAAUGGAAUUGCUACGGCGGCAACGGCGGAGAUGAUUCUCGUUGACAGCAGCGGAGACCAGUGGCGGGAGGCAGCUGGCAACGAGGAGGACGAUCCGGAGACCCAGGGAGGCAGAGCAGGCUAAGCGCUGGCGAAAGAAUUCAGAGAAAUUUCCAAAUUUUGGCCCGUGGAUAUAUAUAUAUAUAUAUAUAUAUAUAUAUAUAUAUAUAUAUAUAUAUAUAUAGCUUGACCCGGUCGUUGUGACCGAGUGGAACAACUCGGUGGCACCGAGAUGCAUAACUGCAAGCAGUUACAACAACUCGGUGUGACCGAAAAGUUCAAAUCGGUUGCACCGAGAUUGAAAACCUAGAUCGACUUAGUGAUCUCAGUAUGACCAAAAUGGAGGAAUCGGUCAGACCCAAACGGACAAAGAAGUUUUGGAAGUUUAAGUCUAUGACGAAUCGGGGACUCCGAGUGCUCCUCACACGGAGUGGUUCGAAUCUGACUUGAUCAAACUUUGUGAUGUGGCAUGAAUAGAGUUCGAGACAAGAAAAGCAUAGAUAGCUAGAGAGGGUUCUUAGGCAUUCUUGUCCAUCCACUUGGCAAAAUAAAAGAAGCCAAACAACCAAAACAACAAGUGGAUGUCCUCGAAUGAGUAAAAUAUGCAACCAACAUGCUCACACAAUAAAAUGGCGAAUGAAAUAUGUGGCAAAGCAUGCACAACAAAUUCUAGCAUCUAUCAAGAAAUUGGUGAUGACUAGGUCAUCUAUAUACGAGUAUAUUGACUUAGGAGUUGAGGGAGUCCUGGACUAGGGGGUGUCCGGACAGACGGACUAUCAUUGUCCGCCGGACUCCAAGACUACAAAGAUACAAGAUUGAAGACUCCGUCCCGUGUCCGGAUGGGACUUUCCUUGGCGUGGAAGGCAAGCUUGGCGAUACGGAUAUGUAGAUCUCCUACCCUUGUAACCGACUCUGUGUAACCCUAGCCCUCUCCGGUGUCUAUAUAAACCGGAGGGCUUUAGUCCGUAGGAUACAACAUACAUUACAACAAUCAUACCAUAGGCUAGCUUCUAGGGUUUAGCCUCCUUGAUCUCGUGGUAGAUCCACUCUUGUACUACCCAUAUCAUCAAUAUUAAUCAAGUAGGACAUAGGGUUUUACCUCCAUCAAGAGGGCCCGAACCUGGGUAAAACAUCGUGUCCCUUGUCUCCUGUUACCAUCCGCCUAGACGCACAGUUCGGGACCCCCUACCCGAGAUCCGCCGGUUUUGACACCGACAUUGGUGCUUUCAUUGAGAGUUCCUCUGUGUCGUCACCGAUAGGAAGGAUGCCUCCACCCGUCUUCAAGGACGGUAUUUUCGCCCAAGGGGCCUUGGCCGCCAGCCAAACUAUCCGGCUAGGUGGUUUUCUUAUGACCGCCUAUCCGGCCACUACUUCGACAAUGACUUCUCAAGUCGUCAAAAGCAAUCUUCACGUCAGCUCGGAAUUUGCCGAGCGGCUGGAUCCGAUAGAGCUCUCGUCUGUCAACGAGCUCUUGGAUCGCUUCGCCGCCCUGGGAGUCGCUACGGACUACAAUCAGAUUGGGCUUAAAACCGAUCUGAGAGAGAUUAACUCUCCCCAGGUCACCCACCACGUCGCCGUGGUAGAGGAACAAUGCAGCGACUCUUCUCCUGUAUUGAAAACUAGUCACGUCCGGGCUCCCGAACCCUCCAUGCCGGAUUUCCGCGGAGGAACGGACUUCGAUCGAGCACCGAACUUAAAGUCGGGCAUCGGACCGGACUCGUUGGACAACGUCCAGCAAUCCAAGCUUCCAAAUUUGGAAACUUCACGGCCUUUAAGCCCCGAGAUGGGUAGGGAUCCGCAUUUUAUUCCACCCACCCGCCCAGACAUAUGCGAUCUAUCUCUAAUACGGCAAGAGCCCGCUGAAACAGUACAUCACUACUGGGCCAGAUUCCUCCUGGUUAUGGACAGGAUAAAGGACUACCGAGAGGAAAACGCAAUCUCAAUCUUUUGCAAUAAUUGCACGGACAAGGGAAUUAUAUGCUUCUCCGAUCUGGCGUCCAUAGUACGAAAGUACUGUGCGAUGGAGAGUUUCCGGAAAACCGAAAGCCAGUUCUAGGACAACUCGGCCCCGAAUACAACCCUGGUUCGCAACAAAAGGGUGCAUCAUACUCAGGCCCCAGAUGCAAAAACCAAAAAGCAAAAACCCCAUAGAGGGCACGGAACCGUACUUGAGGGAUGGCUCAGCGGACCCUGUAAGCUUCACAGUACAGAGGGCGCCGUCCCAACACAUAGCCUUCGAGCAUGUUGGAUAUUAUGGCAGGUGGCCAAAAGUGGCGAGGAGCUUCUAGCCCCGGAAAACCACUCCAACAAUACCAGUACGGUAUCAACAGUCUUCGAGACUUUCGCAUCAAAUAAUAUGCGAAAACGAACAAUCCGCGGCCUCGCCGAAGUCUACCAAGUAGCAACAGCUAAUCCAUGGAGCGACACAGCCAUCACCUUCAACGCCAGCGACGAACCUAAGUUUCGAACAGCCCGAGCACCAGCCGCACUGGUGCUUAGUCCUAUAGUGGACGGCUUUCGACUUACAAAGGUCUUCAUGGAUGGCGGCAGCGGACUAAACCUCAUCUACGAGGAAACUCUUCAAAAAAUGGAAAUAGACUGGAGCCGUAUUGAGCGAAGCAGCACAACCUUCAUAGGAAUAAUCCCUAGCCGGGAAGCGCGCUGCACCGGAAAAAUCACACUCGAUGUGGUGUUCGGCUCGUCGGACAAUUACAGAUCCGAAGAAAUCACGUUCCAAGUGGCCCCGUUCCACCACUAGGGAAAAGGCUAUACACAGAAUCUUAGCAGCAGCGAGGGCUAAAAACCCUCGCUACUGCUACUUACUAGCAGCGCAGGUUUUUAAACCUCGCUACUACUAAGUUCAUAGCAGCAGCGCGGGUUUGUAACCCUCGCUACUACUAAGCGGUCUGUACCGUGCCCCCCGGGAUAUGCCAUAGUAGUAGCGAGGGUUUUUAACCCUCGCUGCUGCUAAGUUCAUAGCAGUAGCGCGGGUUUUUAACCCUCGCUACUACUAACCCGCGCUACUGCUAUCAACUUAGUAGUAGCGAGGNNNNNNNNNNNNNNNNNNNNNNNNNNNNNNNNNNNNNNNNNNNNNNNNNNNNNNNNNNNNNNNNNNNNNNNNNNNNNNNNNNNNNNNNNNNNNNNNNNNNNNNNNNNNNNNNNNNNNNNNNNNNNNNNNNNNNNNNNNNNNNNNNNNNNNNNNNNNNNNNNNNNNNNNNNNNNNNNNNNNNNNNNNNNNNNNNNNNNNNNNNNNNNNNNNNNNNNNNNNNNNNNNNNNNNNNNNNNNNNNNNNNNNNNNNNNNNNNNNNNNNNNNNNNNNNNNNNNNNNNNNNNNNNNNNNNNNNNNNNNNNNAGUAGCGCGGGGUCUGGCCUAUUUGGCAAAGUCUACCCCCCCCCUGGGACCGCCUUUUCAGUUUUAAAAAAAAUAAAAGAAAAUGAUAAAGAUGUCAAAAAAAUAAAAGAAAAUAAGUUUCCCAUGUGAUAUGUGGUCUAGUUGUUGGGAAAAUUUACAAAUAUGAAUUUCGACUUUAUUUGCAAAAUCUCUCUGGAAAUUUGUAAAAUGGCCAUAACUUUUGCAUACGAACUCGGAUGAAAAAGUUUUUUAUAUGAAAAAGCAUCUACUCGAAAAGUUACAUCCGAAUUUAACCGGGGGAACCCCGUUAAACGUUUUCAAAAUCCUCAAAAGCCUAACAGAAAAAAAGUUAUGGGGCUUUUAAGAUCUGGAGGCAAAAAAAUUCAAAAAAAAAUAUUAUUUUUUAAUUUUUGUUAAAUCUAGUCAAACUAUGGUCAAACUAAUUAUUCAAGAAUAUUAGUGUUAAUAAAUAAUUAUUUUAGUUUUUUUGAAUUUUGGUCAAAUCUGGUCAAACUAUGGUCAAACUGUGGUCAAAUCUGGUCAAACUGCGGUCAAAUCUGGUCAAACUGUGGUCAAACUAAUUAUUCAAGAAAUAUUAGUGUUACCAAUUUUUUAGAACAAUAGUUUCAAACUCAAACAGUGAAAUGUGUGACUUCAUGCUCAAGCUAAAUUCCUGAGGUUAAUAGGAUUGACAUCUCACUAUUGUCAGGAAAACAACAAGUGCAGACUUGAAAACGAGGGAGAAUAGAACCCGGAACUUAAGCGUCCUCAGGCUGGAGUAGUGAGAGGAUGGGUGACCGUCCGGGAAGUUAGAUGAUUUGGAAUGAUGAGGGGUGAUUAGAGAUUAAAUUGAGCAGCGAUUAGGGGUGAUUAGAGAUUUGAGUUAAAAUAAUUCAAAAAUUUGAAAAUUUCGAAAAAAAUUCACAAAAAAAAUUCGAAAAAAUUCAAAAAAAAUAGUUCCGAGAUUACAGAUUAGUAGUAGCGCGGGUUUAAACCCGCGCUACUGCUAUACGUUAGCUGUAGCGCGGGUGGCACCCGCGCUACUGCUAUAAGUUAGCUGUAGCGCCUUAUUAGUAGCGCGGGUACCCGCGCUGCUGAUAGGCCUAAAACCCGCGCUGCUGCUAGGCUUUUCCCUAGUAGUGUU
rnacentral:lncRNA from 1 species